AUACAGGUGAGUAGUGCUGUUGAAUACAGGUGAGUAGUGCUGUUGAAUACAGGUGAGUGAACAGGUGAGUAGUACUGUUGAAUACAGGUGAGUGAACAGGUGAGUAGUGCUGUUGAAUACAGGUGAGUGAACAGGUGAGUAGUGCUGUUGAAUACAGGUGAGUGAACAGGUGAGUAGUACUGUUGAAUACAGGUGAGUAGUAGUGUUGAAUACAGGUGAGUAGUGCUGUUGAAUACAGGUGAGUGAACAGGUGAGUAGUGCUGUUGAAUACAGGUGAGUGAACAGGUGAGUAGUACUGUUGAAUACAGGUGAGUAGUAGUGUUGAAUACAGGUGAGUGAACAGGUGAGUAGUGCUGUUGAAUACAGGUGAGUGAACAGGUGAGUAGUGCUGUUGAAUACAGGUGAGUGAACAGGUGAGUAGUGCUGUUG